rnacentral:rRNA from 1 species
UGGCGAACGGGUGAGUAACGCGUGAGGAACCUGCCUCAAAGAGGGGGACAACAGUUGGAAACGGCUGCUAAUACCGCAUAAGCGCACAGUACCGCAUGGUACGGUGUGAAAAACUCCGGUGGUAUGAGAUGGACCCGCGUCUGAUUAGGUAGUUGGUGGGGUAACGGCCUACCAAGCCGACGAUCAGUAGCCGACCUGAGAGGGUGACCGGCCACAUUGGGACUGAGACACGGCCCAA